rnacentral:rRNA from 1 species
CCUACGGGAGGCAGCAGUGAGGAAUAUUGGUCAAUGGACGAGAGUCUGAACCAGCCAAGUAGCGUGAAGGAUGACUGCCCUAUGGGUUGUAAACUUCUUUUAUAUGGGAGUAAAAUGUUCCACGUGUGGGAUUUUGUAUGUACCAUAUGAAUAAGGAACGGCUAACGCCGUGCCAGCAGCCGCGGUAAUACGGAGGAUCCGAGCGUUAUCCGGAUUUAUUGGGUUUAAAGGGAGCGCAGGUGGAUUGUUAAGUCAGUUGUGAAAGUCUGCGGCUCAACCGUAACAUUGCAGUUGAAACUGGCAGUCUUGAGUACAGUAGAGGUGGGCGGAAUUCGUGGUGUAGCGGUGAAAUGCUUAGAUAUCACGAAGAACUCCGAUGGCGAAGGCAGUUCACUGGACUGCAACUGACACUGAGGCUCGAAAGUGUGGGUAUCAAACAGGAUUAGAUACCCCAGUAGUC